rnacentral:tRNA from 1 species
CCACACGUAGCCCAAUCCGGCAGAGGCGACAGGCUUAGACCCUGUGCGUUGGGGGUUCGAAUCCCUCCGUGUGGACCA